UGAACCCUGGGAUGAACCCUGGGAUGAAGCCUGGGAUGAACCCUGGGAGGACCCUUAACCCUGGCUGCAUGUCUGGGGACGGACUUCCGCCAAAGCCCCUCCCUCAGUUAUACAGCGAGGGUGUUGUGGAGCGUGUGACUGCAGCAGGUUCCGGAAUCCGGUGUCCAGUGUCCGGUAAACGGUAAACGCACCACGAGUUGUCCCCCAGGCAGAACGAGGCCCCAGAAGAAAGCUCUUUUAAUCUCUGAACUCUGACCUUGUGACCAUAUGCGACGGCAGCCGUCUUACAUUGUCUUUCCUUAUAAUACAUAGUUUUUUGUUUAUG